UACGAAGGGGGCUAGCGUUAUUCGGAUUUACUGGGCGUAAAGCGCACGCAGGCGGCUUAACAAGUCAGAGGUGAAAUCCCAAGGCUCAACCUUGGAACUGCCUUUGAAACUGUUAAGCUAGAGUUCGAGAGAGGAUGGUGGAAUUCCUAGUGUAGAGGUGAAAUUCGUAGAUAUUAGGAGGAACACCGGUGGCGAAGGCGGCCAUCUGGCUCGAUACUGACGCUCAUGUGCGAAAGCGUGGGUAGCAAACAGG
rnacentral:rRNA from 1 species